UGUUUCACGUUGUUUGAAGUAUGCGACGUGUGUACCAUCGCAAAGCUUCUUCGAAGCCCGUUCGUUUGAUAUCCAUGUCAAUAUGGUUGGGAAUCACGCAUGGACCAGCGAAAGAUACGUGAGGUCACGUGACACCUUUUUCCCACCUGGUUUGACGUUCGUUACGUGUGUACCAUCGCAAAGCUUCUUCGAAGCCCGUUCGUUUGAUAUCCAUGUCAAUAUGGUUGGGAAUCACGCAUGGACCAGCGAAGUAUACGUGAGGUCACGUGACACCUUUUUCCCACCUGGUUUGACGUUCGUUACGUGUGUACCAUCGCAAAGCUUCUUCGAAGCCCGUUCGUUUGAUAUCCAUGUCAAUACAUUUGGAAAUCAUGCAUGGACCAGCGAAUUAUAGGUGAGGUCACGUGACACCAUUUUCCCACCUGGUUUGACAUUCGUUACGUGUGUACCAUCGCAAAGCUUCUUCGAAGCCCGUUCGUUUGAUAUCCAUGUCAAUAUGGUUGGGAAUGACCCAUGAGGGCCUCAAGAAAGUUACGUUAUGUCACGUGAC